rnacentral:piRNA from 1 species
UGGUACACAUCCCUGCUUCAGCUCAU